rnacentral:rRNA from 1 species
AACGAACGCUGGCGGCAGGCUUAACACAUGCAAGUCGAACGGGUGUAGCAAUACAUCAGUGCAGACGGGUGAGUAACACGUGGGAACCUUCCUAGGGGUACGGAACAACUCAGGGAAACUUGAGCUAAUACCGUAUACGUCCGUGAGGAGAAAGAUUUAUCGCCCUUAGACGGGCCCGCGUCGGAUUAGCUAGUUGGUGGGGUAACGGCCUACCAAGGCGACGAUCCGUAGCUGAUCUUAGAGGAUGAUCAGCCACACUGGGACUGAGACACGGCCCAGACUCCUACGGGAGGCAGCAGUGGGGAAUCUUGGACAAUGGGCGCAAGCCUGAUCCAGCCAUGCCGCGUGAGUGAUGAAGGCCUUAGGGUUGUAAAGCUCUUUCACCGAUGAAGAUAAUGACGGUAGUCGGAGAAGAAGCCCCGGCUAACUUCGUGCCAGCCGCCGCUGUAAAAC